rnacentral:rRNA from 1 species
GAUGAACGCUGGCGGCGUGCUUAACACAUGCAAGUCGAACGAACCUUCGGGUUAGUGGCGGACGGGUGAGUAACGCGUGAGAAUCUGCCCUCAGGAGGGGGAUAACGGCUGGAAACGGCCGCUAAUACCCCAUAUGCCGCGAGGUGAAAUGAAAUUCGCCUGAGGAUGAGCUCGCGUCUGAUUAGCUAGUUGGUGGGGUAAAGGCCUACCAAGGCAUCGAUCAGUAGCUGGUCUGAGAGGAUGAUCAGCCACACUGGGACUGAGACACGGCCCAGACUCCUACGGGAGGCAGCAGUGGGGAAUUUUCCGCAAUGGGCGAAAGCCUGACGGAGCAACGCCGCGUGAGGGAUGAAGGCCUCUGGGCUGUAAACCUCUUUUAUCAAGGAAGAAGAUCUGACGGUACUUGAUGAAUAAGCCACGGCUAAUUCCGUG